GAUUAAGCUACAAAGAGCGUAUGGUGGAUGCCUUGGCAUCAGGCGCCGAUGAAGGACGCGAUAAGCUGCGAUAAGCUACGGGGAGCUGCAAAUGAGCUUUGAUCCGUAGAUUUCCGAAUGUGGAAACACACUAGAAGUAACUGUCUAGUAUUGCACUCGUUUACGAAGUGCAAGGGGAACCAGGGGAACUGAAACAUCUUAGUACCCUGAGGAAAAGAAAGUAAAAAAACGAUUGCUUAAGUAGUGGCGAGCGAAAGAGCAAGAGCCCAAACCGCAUAUAGCAAUAUGUGCGGGGUUCGGACUGACAUAAAUGUAUUAUUUGAGGGUAGCCGAAGUUUAGUGGAAACGGCGUCAAAGAAGGUAACAACCCUGUAGGCGACAUCCGAAAAUAGCAGUCAGUAUCCAGAGUACCAUCAAGCACGAGAAAUUUGGUGGGAAUGCGGGAGGUCCAUCUCCUAAGGCUAAAUACGACCUGAUGACCGAUAGUGAACCAGUACUGUGAAGGAAAGGUGAAAAGUACCCCGGGAGGGGAGUGAAAUAGAACCUGAAACCAUAUGCUUACAAGCAGAGGGAGGGCUACGCAGCAAUGCAAGCCUCACCUCGUACUUUUUGUAGAACGGACCGGCGAGUUACGAUGUGUUGCGAGGUUAAGUGACUAAGUCACGGAGCCGAAGCGAAAGCGAGUCUUAAAUGGGCGAAUUUUAGUAUCAUGUCGUAGACCCGAAACCGAGUGACCUAACCAUGAGCAGGAUGAAGCAGGGGUAAAACCUUGUGGAGGUCCGAACACACGCCUGUUGAAAUAGUCGGUGAUGACUUGUGGUUAGCGGAGAAAUUCCAAUCGAACUCGGAUAUAGCUGGUUCUCCUCGAAAUAGCUUUAGGGCUAGCGUCAGUAUUUAGUGUACUGGGGGUAGAGCACUGAAUGGGCUAGGGGCCUUCACGGGUUACCGAACCUUAUCAAACUGCGAAUACCAGAUACAUGUGACUGGCAGUCAGACAGUGAGAGAUAAGUUUCAUUGUCAAAAGGGAAACAGCCCAGAUCCACAGCUAAGGUCCUCAAAUUUGUGUUAAGUGGUAAAGGAUGUGUCAUUGCUAAGACAACUAGGAUGUUGGCUUAGAAGCAGCCACUCAUUUAAAGAGUGCGUAAUAGCUCACUAGUCGAGUGAUGAUGCGCCAAAGAUUUCCGGGGCUAAAACACAAUACCGAAGCUUGGGAACAGCAGUAAUGUUGUUGGUAGAGGAGCAAUGCAAUAGCGCAAAGGUAAAGAAGCCGUAUCGAAAGGGGCGGUGGAGCUGUUGCAAGAGAGAAUGCCGGUAUGAGUAGCGAGAGGGAGGCGAGAAUCCUCCCCGUCAAAAGCCUAAGGUUUCCUGGGGAAGGGUCGUCCUCCCAGGGUAAGUCGGGACCUAAGGUGAGGCCGAAAGGCGUAAUCGAUGGACAACACUUUAAUAUUAGUGUACCACCGUACAAUAUGAUGCAGGGACACAGUAGGAUAGUCUAUCCACCCGGAUGGUAAGGGUGGUCAAAUCAUGAGGCUUGUGUGUAGUGAAGUACGCACACAGUAAGGCUAGGUGAUGAUGAGUAAUAAAUAGAGUAGAUGAAUUCACACUGGCGAGAAAAGCUGCUAAAUUUAGUUGUAAGGUGCCCGUACCGCAAACCGACACAGGUAGGCGGCAAGAGAAUUGCAAGACGAACGGGAUAACCCUUGUUAAGGAACUCGGCAAAAUGACCCCGUAACUUCGGAAUAAGGGGGGCCUUUUGAGGGUAGCGACUGAAAUGUUGCGAGAGUAAGAAGGUCGCAGAUAAUAGGCCCAAGCGACUGUUUAUCUAAAACACAGGUCUGUGCGAAAUCGUAAAGAUGACGUAUACGGGCUGACGCCUGCCCAGUGCUGGAAGGUCAAGGGGAAGUGUUAGGGGCAACCCGAAGCACAGAACUUAAGCCCCAGUGAACGGCGGCCGUAACUAUAACGGUCCUAAGGUAGCGAAAUUCCUUGUCAGGUAAGUUCUGACCCGCAUGAAUGGCGUAACGACUUGGGCUCUGUCUCAACAGGGGACCCGGCGAAAUUGUAGUAUACGUGAAGAUGCGUAUUACCCGCGACUGGACGGAAAGACCCCGUAGAGCUUUACUAUAGCUUGAUAUUGAGUUUCGGUAACAAUUGUACAGGAUAGGUGGGAAAAUGUGAAGCAUGGGCGUCAGCCUGUGUGGAUUUGACCUUGGGAUACCACCCUAUUGUUGCUGGAAUUCUAACCCCAUGUCCGUGACAGGGUGGGGGACAUUGUCAGGUGGGUAGUUUGACUGGGGCGGUCGCCUCCAAAAGAGUAACGGAGGCGUUCAAAGGUUCUCUGAGAAUGGUUGGAACCCAUUCGUAGAGCGUAAAGGCAUAAGAGAGCUUGACUGCGAGACAGACAUGUCGAGCAGGUACGAAAGUAGGACUUAGUGAUCUGGCGGUAGAGUAUGGAAUUGCCGUCACUUAACGGAUAAAAGUUACCUCGGGGAUAACAGGCUUAUCUCCCCCAAGAGUUCACAUCGACGGGGAGGUUUGGCACCUCGAUGUCGGCUCGUCACAUCCUGGGGCUGUAGCAGGUCCCAAGGGUUCGGCUGUUCGCCGAUUAAAGUGGCACGCGAGCUGGGUUCAGAACGUCGUGAGACAGUUCGG
rnacentral:rRNA from 1 species